CCUACGGGUGGCAGCAGUGGGGAAUAUUGCACAAUGGGGGAAACCCUGAUGCAGCGACGCCGCGUGAGUGAAGAAGUAAUUCGGUAUGUAAAGCUCUAUCAGCAGGGAAGAAAAUGACGGUACCUGAGUAAGAAGCCCCGGCUAACUACGUGCCAGCAGCCGCGGUAAUACGUAGGGGGCAAGCGUUAUCCGGAUUUACUGGGUGAAAAGGGAGCGUAGACGGCAGUGCAAGUAUGGAGUGAAAGGCGGGGGCUCAACCCCCGGAAUGCUCUGGAAACUGUACGGCUGGAGUGCAGGAGAGGUAAGUGGAAUUCCUAGUGUAGCGGUGAAAUGCGUAGAUAUUAGGAGGAACACCAGUGGCGAAGGCGGCUUACUGGACUGUAACUGACGUUGAGGCUCGAAAGCGUGGGGAGCAAACAGGAUUAGAUACCCGGGUAGUC
rnacentral:rRNA from 1 species